AGAGUUUGAUCCUGGCUCAGAUUGGACGCUGGCGGCAGGCCUAACACAUGCAAGUCGAACGAACCCUUCGGGGUUAGUGGCGCACGGGUGCGUAACGCGUGGGAAUCUGCCCUUUGCUUCGGAAUAACAGUUAGAAAUGACUGCUAAUACCGGAUGAUGUCUUCGGACCAAAGAUUUAUCGGCAAGGGAUGAGCCCGCGUAGGAUUAGGUAGUUGGUGGGGUAAAGGCCUACCAAGCCGACGAUCCUUAGCUGGUCUGAGAGGAUGAUCAGCCACACUGGGACUGAGACACGGCCCAGACUCCUACGGGAGGCAGCAGUGGGGAAUAUUGGACAAUGGGCGCAAGCCUGAUCCAGCAAUGCCGCGUGAGUGAUGAAGGCCUUCGGGUCGUAAAGCUCUUUUACCAGGGAUGAUAAUGACAGUACCUGGAGAAUAAGCUCCGGCUAACUCCGUGCCAGCAGCCGCGGUAAUACGGAGGGAGCUAGCGUUGUUCGGAAUUACUGGGCGUAAAGCGCACGUAGGCGGCGACACAAGUCAGAGGUGAAAGCCCGGGGCUCAACCCCGGAACUGCCUUUGAAACUAGGUUGCUAGAAUCUUGGAGAGGUCAGUGGAAUUCCGAGUGUAGAGGUGAAAUUCGUAGAUAUUCGGAAG
rnacentral:rRNA from 1 species